rnacentral:misc_RNA from 1 species
GAUGAAGAACGCAGCGAAAUGCGAUAAGUAAUGUGAAUUGCAGAAUCCAGUGAAUCAUCGAAUCUUUGAACGCACAUUGCGCCCGCCAGCAUUCUGGCGGGCAUGCCUGUUGGAGCGUCAUUUCAACCCUCGACCUCCCUUUGGGGAAGUCGGCGUUGGGGACCGGCAGCACACCGCCGGCCCUGAAAUGGAGUGGCGGCCCGUCCGCGGCGACCUCUGCGUAGUAAACCAACUCGCACCGGAACCCCGACGUGGCCACGCCGUAAAACACCCAACUUCUGAACGUUGACCUCGAAUCAGGUAGGACUACCCGCUGAACUUAAGCAUAUCAAUAAGCGGAGGA